rnacentral:tRNA from 3 species
AGGCCAGUAGUUCAAUUGGUAGAGCACCGGUCUCCAAAACCGGGUGUUGGCGGUUCGACCCCGUCCUGGCCUGCCA